rnacentral:rRNA from 1 species
UGCAGUCGUGCGAGAAAGAUCUUCGGAUAUGAGUAGAGCGGCGGACGGGUGACUAUCGCGUAGGAAUCUACCUAGUAGAAGGGGAUAGCCCGGGGAAACUCGGAUUAAUACCGUAUACCUCCUUCGGGAGAAAGAAGGCCUCUCUUUGAAGCUUUCGCUACUAGAUGAGCCUGCGUAAGAUUAGCUUGUUGGUGAGGUAAAGGCUCACCAAGGCGACGAUCUUUAGCGGGUCUGAGAGGACGAUCCGCCACAUUGGGACUGAGACACGGCCCAGACUCCUACGGGAGGCAGCAGUGGGGAAUAUUGGACAAUGGGCGCAAGCCUGAUCCAGCCAUACCGCGUGUGUGAAGAAGGCCCUAGGGUUGUAAAGCACCUUAAGUUGGGAAGAAAAGUUAUUGGUUAAUACCCAAUAGCCGUGACAUUACCAUCAGAAUAAGGACCGGCUAAUUCCGUGCCAGCAGCCGCGGUAAUACGGAAGGUCCAAGCGUUAAUCGGAAUUACUGGGCGUAAAGCGCGCGUAGGUGGUUUACUAAGUUGGAUGUGAAAUCCCCGGGCUCAACCUGGGAACUGCAUCCAAAACUGAUUCACUAGAGUACGAUAGAGGGAGGUAGAAUUCACAGUGUAGCGGUGGAAUGCGUAGAUAUUGUGAAGAAUACCAAUGGCGGAGGCAGCCUCCUGGAUCUGUACUGACACUGAGGUGCGAAAGCGUGGGUAGCGAACAGGAUUAGAUACCCUGGUAGUCCACGCCGUANACGAUGUCAACUAGCUGUUGGGGAACUAUGUUCUUCAGUGGCGCAGCUAACGUAGUAAGUUGACCGCCUGGGGAGUACGGCCGCAAGGCUAAAACUCAAAUGAAUUGACGGGGACCCCGCACAGCGGUGGAGCAUGUGGUUUAAUUCGAUGCAACGCGAAAAAC